rnacentral:lncRNA from 1 species
AAGAGGAGGCUGGGUGAUGGAUGAAGAAGGAGUAGAAGGAAAGUCAUCAACAGGAGGAACCCAGGCAGAAGAAGGGGAAGGAAGGGGAAAGGGACUAUGGGAAGAGUGCCCUGGAGAAGCAAAAGGAAAGACAUCCUCAUGAAAAUUUACAUCCAUGGAGAUCAUAGUGAGUUUGGACUUCAAAUUAUGCAGUUUGUAACCCUUUUUACCCAAUAGAUAUCCCAGAAAAACACAUGGAUCUGCUCUUGGUUGAAAUUCGUCCCUGUUCUGUUUAGGGGCUAAGGCAAAACAGAGGCAACCAAAAGUGUUAAGAUGGUUAUAUGACGGAAGCCGUCCAAACAACAACUCAAAGGAGGAUUUAUUGUGAAGAAUUUUGGAAGGAAAUCUGUUAAUGAGGUAGGUGGCAGUGAGCACACAGUCACCCCAGAAUCCGAUAGAUAGCUGUGAAUGGGAAAGUAGAGCCCAUGAGGUUUCUAGCAGAUAUCUAUGCUUUCUCUCAACUACACCAUUUUUUUGUGGUGUGUGGGAGCAAGAAGUUUGAUGCAAUAUGCCAUUUUCAGCAAAGAAAUUGCUGCCAGAACUACUAGAGCCAAGUUGAAAGGCAUUAUCACUCCUAAUGGUCUGUACCAUAGACUGAAAUUGAGUUUUAAUCAUGGCAAUGAAAGCCUUGAUAAGGGGAAAGGCAUUGCUCUUGGACCCCAUAUGGUGAGUCCAAGUAGCUCUGGUAAAGUCAUCAACAAUUGUGAGAAAGUAUCUACACCCAUUAUGAGUAGGACAGCAAAGAAAUUGCUGCCAGAACUACUAGAGCCAAGUUGAAAGGCAUUAUCACUCCUAAUGGUCUGUACCAUAGACUGAAAUUGAGUUUUAAUCAUGGCAAUGAAAGCUUAGCUAAGGGGAAAGGCAUUGCUCUUGGACCCCAUAUGGUGGGUCCAAGUAGCUCUGGUAAAGUCAUCAACAAUUGUGAGAAAUUAUCUACACCCAUUAUGAGUAGGAGUGGCAUAGGGACCCCAUGUGUCAACAUGGAUUAGUUGAAAGGCAUGUGUUGUUUUAAUGGAACUAUCAGGACAGGGUAGCCUAGAUUGCCUGGCUAAAGGGCAGAUAGGACAGAGGAAAGGCUGCUUUGAUGAAAAAGUACAUGGUAUAGAAGACAUGUCUUUCAUUCUAACAAAAGGUAUGUGCCCUAGUCUAUUGCGCCAUAAAAUCUCCAUUUCAUUAGAUUCAGAAUGAUAUGUACAAUGAGAAGAAGGAAUAGAAUCAACAGUUAAUGGAGACUGGUAUUUACAAUGAUCAAGAGAUUGAAGAGAGGAAUAUAGCACAAGCCUGUAGAGACCAUCAUCCAAUUUACCAAUCUCCAGUGGCCUCUUCAGAGAAGGGGCAUGUAUUAAACAAGAGAAUAUAGUAAAUAGGACAAUUGAAUUUAACUGGCACACAAGUUUAGACACAGAGAUGAGAUUGUAGUGAAAGCUGGGAAUGUAAAGGACAUGAUGUAGAGUAAAGGAAAAGAAUUGUAUUGAGCCAGUGCAUGUUACCUUAACCUUAUAACCAUUGGGUAUGGUAACUAGAUAUGGUAUAACUAAGGGUUUAAUGUCAAACAGAAGGUCUUUAUUAGAGGUCAUGUGAUCAGUGGCACCAGAGUCUAUAACCCAAUUGCAGUCACUUAUUUUAGUUAGCAUGCAAGCCCCAUAAGAUACAUUUUUUUAGUGAGUGGUUGAAGAAAAGUUACCAGCAAAAUUGGCUGAUGCCAUAAGACUUGACUGCUGCUGAGACUCUGAAAUUUGUGUCUGAUGGAGUAACAACAUAAGCUGUGAGUACUGAUCUUUGGUUAAGCCAGGUAUGACAGACUCUGAUUCAGAUACUGUGAGUACUGAUCUUUGGUUAAGCUAGGUAUGACAGACUCUGAUUCAGAAGCCCCCCGAUCAUUGGCAAUAUUGGUCUGGUUUCCAGCAGAAUUUAGACUCCCCUGCACUUCAACAUGAGCUGCACUCCUCCUUCCUUUUGUGAAUUUGAAAUCUGAUGGAACACCUUUUGUGAAUUUGAAGUCUGAUGGAAAACUGUGGAGUUUGUAGCACUUGUCAAUGAGGUAACCAGGUUUCUUACAAUACCUACACACUAAGUUUGCCCUGUUGAUGUCAAAGUUGAGUCUCUGAUUAAACUGCUUAGGGUACCCAGCUGUGGAAGGAGGAGAUUUUGUGAUAGGAGGGGAUCUGUUG